rnacentral:rRNA from 1 species
GACGAACGCUGGCGGCGUGCUUAACACAUGCAAGUCGAGCGGUAAGGCCCUUUCGGGGGUACACGAGCGGCGAACGGGUGAGUAACACGUGGGUGACCUGCCCUCAGCUCUGGGAUAAGCCCGGGAAACUGGGUCUAAUACCGGAUAUGACUCCAUGACGCAUGUUGUGGGGUGGAAAGCCUUGUGCGGCUGAGGAUGGGCCCGCGGCCUAUCAGCUUGUUGGUGGGGUGAUGGCCUACCAAGGCGACGACGGGUAGCCGGCCUGAGAGGGCGACCGGCCACACUGGGACUGGAGACACGGCCCAGACUCCUACGGGAGGCAGCAGUGGGGAAUCUUGCGCAAUGGGCGAAAGCCUGACGCAGCGACGCCGCGUGAGGGAUGACGGCCUGGUGU